GGGGCCAUGGGGUAGCUUGGUAUCCUUCCUGCUUUGGGAGCAGGCGACCGCGAUUCAAAUUCGCGUGGCCCCA
rnacentral:tRNA from 2 species